GUGCUAAGGUAGCAAAAUCAUUUGUUUUUUAAUUGUAAACUGGAAUGAAUGAUUAAACAAAAAAUUAUUUUUUAUAAAAAUAAUUUAAAAUUUUUAUUUUAUGUAAAAAUACAUAAAAGAAUAAAAGGGACGAUAAGACCCUAAAAGCUUUAUUAUUAUAUAUUUUUUAUUAUUAUUAAAAAUAAAAUUAAAAAUAAUUUAACUGGGGUAGUUGUUUUUAUAACAAAUAUUUUUUAUAACACUUUGUAAUAAAGAGCCUUUAUAUUGGGAAAAUUAGUUAAAGUUACUUUAGGGAUAACAGCGUAAUAAUAAUGGGAAGGCCUUAUUUAUAUUAUUGUUUUCGACCUCGAUGUUGAAUUAAAUUUCUUUGUAAAGCAAAAAUUAUUUAUGAAAGUUUGUUCAACUUUUAAAAUUUUACAUGAU
rnacentral:rRNA from 1 species